GACGAACGCUGGCGGCGUGCUUAACACAUGCAAGUCGAACGGAAAGGCCCUGCUUUUGUGGGGUGCUCGAGUGGCGAACGGGUGAGUAACACGUGAGUAACCUGCCCUUGACUUUGGGAUAACUUCAGGAAACUGGGGCUAAUACCGGAUAGGAGCUCCUGCUGCAUGGUGGGGGUUGGAAAGUUUCGGCGGUUGGGGUUGGACUCGCGGCUUAUCAGCUUGUUGGUGGGGUAGUGGCUUACCAAGGCUUUGACGGGUAGCCGGCCUGAGAGGGUGACCGGCCACAUUGGGACUGAGAUACGGACCAGACUCCUACGGGAGGCAGCAGUGGGGAAUAUUGCACAAUGGGCGGAAGCCUGAUGCAGCAACGCCGCGUGCGGGAUGACGGCCUUCGGGUUGUAAACCGCUUUCGCCUGUGACGAAGCGUGAGUGACGGUAAUGGGUAAAGAAGCACCGGCUAACUACGUG
rnacentral:rRNA from 1 species